AGACAAACGUUGCAAGUAACGCGCGGCGACCAGCUUACGAAGUAUUUCAAUAUUCAAUAGCUCCGUGACGGUUUGAAAACAUACAUUUCAUACAGCUAGGUGAUUUAGAAUCCAAAUCUAAAUUUUAGAUAACAAAAAAAAAAACACAAAAAUAUGUCUUCGCUAUUUUGUGCUAUAUUGUAUGGUCUACGGCCGCCGACCGAAUCCAUAUUGUUACAUUGUAGCAUACUGUAUAACAGAACUCGGAGCCAGCAGGUGAAUAAUUUUUAGAAGUCACAUCUCUUAUACAAAAAGAAACUAUUAAUACAGAUACCAAUGAAUUUUGGCACUUUCUAAUAAAGCUUUUGCAUAGGCUUACAUGUGAAGAAAGACUAGUGGAAUAAUGUUGAAUCAUUUUAGGAUGUUUAUUGGAUUUUUCAAAAAAAGAGCAUAGAUAUCGAUGCUUCUUUUAAUUUAUCUUUUCAAUGUUUAAAUACUAAUGAAUUUUGGGACUUUCUAAUAAAGCUUUUGCAUAGGCUUACAUGUGAAGAAAGACUAGUGGAAUCAUGGUGAAUAAUUUUAAGAUGUUUAUUGGAUUUGUCA